rnacentral:lncRNA from 1 species
GUAUAGGUAUAGGUAUAGAAUAUGAACAUGCAACAUUUACAAGAAAUAAAUCAGAUAAUAAUGAAAAAAGAAAAAAAAACAUAUGAUAUAAAAUUACUACAACAAAAAAAUGAUAAUAACUUAAAAAUGAUAAAUUUUUAUAAACUCGAAAUAAAUAAAUUAAGAGAAGCUCUAUUAUCAGUGAAAACUUAUUAUUACAACUAUAGAAUUAAAUCAAAAAAAAACAUUAACGAAUUAAUGAUUCAAUAUGAGAGAAUAAAAUUUCAAUUUAUUGAAUUACAAAAGAGACAAAAAAGUUAUGAACAAAAUUUUCAAAAAAAAUACACAAAUGCUUGGAACUUGCAAAAAAACGAGGCCAACAAGCACAUUGAAAAAAUUAAUAAAUGCAAAUAAAAUAAUUCACGAACAAAUCCUUUUAAAAGAAUUUCAUCAAACUAAUUAUAAACAAUUGAUAGAAGAUAACAGCAGUUUAAUUUCAACAACCGUUAAAGAUCAUGAAAUCCCUCAAACAGAGUUAAAUACAAAACGUGUUAAUAUACAACAUAUUGAAAAUGUUAAGAAGCUACUUCUGCAAGAAUGCAAUUUCCUAGUCGAAGACGAUAUCGAUGACGAACAACAAAAAAUAAAAAAACUAUUAAAAUACAUAGGUGUGUAUACACAAGAAGAUUUAGAACUACUAACACAAUUGUUUUAUUUAGAUUAUGAGCACGAAAAUGACAGUAACAAUAAUAACAACAAAGAGAGUGACCAUAAUGCGAUAAAAUAUAAUUCAGAAUAUACAUUAGAUAUAAUUUAUAAGUAUUAUCAAGAAAAAGAAAAAGAAAAUGCUUGUAAAAUAACAAAGAAUAAACAACAAUAUAAAAAUAGGUUAAAUAUUUCUUUAAAGUUAAUAAUUGAGAGAAGAAAAAAAGAAAAAGAGUUCUGGGAAAACUUAACGCAUAUUACAUCUAAUGAUAUGAUAGAAAUGUGGAAGACAUUCUCAGUUUUUGUGGAAAAGUAUUACUAUAUAUUAAAAGAUCGAGCAACUAUUGUCCAAAAUAUUUUUAAUGAAGAAAAAUUAAUCAUUGAAAAUAAAAACAAAAUUGAAAACAUGCGUGAAGCUUUAUCCAAGCUAUAAACAAGUAAAGAUUCAUAUAUUUUGUUUUUAAAGAUUUAAACCUUGUUUAGUGUAAUAAAAUAAAAAUGCAGAAGUCUGUAUUGAGAAAG